UACGUAGGGGGCAAGCGUUGUCCGGAAUCAUUGGGCGUAAAGAGCGCGUAGGCGGCCCUGUAAGUCCGCUGUGAAAGUCAAGGGCUCAACCCUUGAAUGCCGGUGGAUACUGCAGGGCUAGAGUCCGGAAGAGGCGAGUGGAAUUCCUGGUGUAGCGGUGGAAUGCGCAGAUAUCAGGAGGAACACCAAUAGCGAAGGCAGCUCGCUGGGACGGUAUUGACGCUAAGGCGCGAAAGCGUGGGGAGCAAACAGG
rnacentral:rRNA from 1 species